UUGGAGGGCAAGUUCUGUGCCACACCCGCGGUAAUUCCAGCCCAUAUGCGUAUAUAUAGUUGUUGCAGUUGAAAAAGCUCGUAGUUGAAAUUUCGGGGUCAGCAGGUUGGUCGUGCCUCUGGUACGCACUGGUAUCGCUGAUCCUCCUUUCUGAAGAACUGUUAUGUCAUUAAUUGUGUUGCAGGGAAACAGGACUGUGACUUUGAACCGAUCAGAGUGUCUAAAGCAAGCUAACGCUGCAUACAUUAGCAUGGAAUAAUGAUCAUAGGACGUUUGAUCCUAUAUUUGUUGGUUUCUAGGAUUGACGUAAUGAUUAAUAGGGAUAGUUGGGGGCAUUAGUAUUCCAUUGUCAGAGUGAAUUCUGGAUUUAUUGAGACUCACUACUGCGGAAGCGUUGGCCAAGGAUGUCUCAUAUCCAGAACGAAAGUUAGGGGAUCGAAGACGAUCAGAUACCGUGGUAGUCUUAACCAUAAACUAUGCCGAAUAGGGAUCGGAUGAUGUAAUUUGUUAAUGACUCA
rnacentral:rRNA from 1 species